UCAGUCAGGCGUGUGUACUACUCCACAUACCUUAAUAUCUAUCUAUCUGCAUCAGAUCGCUGUAUCUUCAUCUUUGGGUUUUCGUCUUCUGCCUGUAGCCAUUCUUCUGAGCUCUGUGAGACUGUGACUGGACUGUAGGUAUGAAGAAACAGCGAUGGACAUGGAUCGGGAGUUUUUACAAGAUCUUCGGGACCUGAAAAUUCUGGUAGAGAAAGAUGCAUUAGAUGAACAGAAGUCACUAAUUAUGUCUUUUGUCAGUGGAAAAGUUUCUGAUAAGACUUGCAAUGACCUUGACUGCAAUUUUAAAAACCUGUCAAGAACCAUAGUCAAUAUUGCAUAUGGAUUAAAUCAUAGUAAAGAAAUGAAAGACUUGUUUGUGGACCUUGUAGAAAAGGUGA